AGAGUUUGAUCAUGGCUCAGCCUGAACGCUGGCGGCGUGGCUAAGACAUGCAAGUCGCACGGACGUAGCAAUACGUUAGUGGCGAACGGGUGAGUAAUGAAUCGCUAAUGUGCCCCGGACUCUGAGAUAGCUGCCCGAAAGGGCAGGUAAUAUCAGAUGAUAUGCAGCUGUCGCAUGACAGUUGCCUCAAAGGUCCGCCGGUCUGGGAGCAGGCGAUUUUGUAUCAGCUAGUUGGUGAGGUAACGGCUCACCAAGGCGACGACGCAUAGCCGGACUGAGAGGUUGGCCGGCCACAUUGGGACUGAGACACUGCCCAGACUCCUACGGGGGGCUGCAGUAACGAAUCUUCCGCAAUGUACGAAAGUAUGACGGAGCGACGCCGCGCGCAGGACGAAGCCCUUCGGGGUGUAAACUGCUGUCAGGGGUUAGAAAGUUCUGAUCAACCCCAGAGGAAGGCACGGCUAACUCUGUGCCAGCAGCCGCGGUAAGACAGAGGUGCCGAGCGUUAGGCGGAAUCACUGGGCUUAAAGCGUGUGUAGGCGGACUUCUAAGUACCUUGUGAAAUCCCACGGCUUAACCGUGGAACUGCUUGGUAUACUGGUUGUCUUGGGCCAUCUAGGGGCUACCGGAACAAACGGUGGAGCGGUGAAAUGCGUAGAUAUCGUUUGGAACGCCAAUGGUGAAAACAGGUAGCUGGGGAUGUGCCGACGCUGAGACACGAAAGCCAGGGGAGCGAACGGGAUUAGAUACCCCGGUAGUCCUGGCUGUAAACGAUGUCGACUAGAUCGUAGUGGCUCUGACGCCGUUACGGUCGAAGCAAAAGUGCUAAGUCGACCGCCUGGGAAGUACGGUCGCAAGGCUAAACUCAAAGGAAUUGACGGGGCUCACACAAGCGGUGGAGCAUGUGGUUCAAUUCGAAGCAACGCGCAGAACCUUACCUGGGCUUGACAUGCUAGGAU
rnacentral:rRNA from 1 species